rnacentral:rRNA from 1 species
GAUGAACGCUAGCGGCAGGCUUAAUACAUGCAAGUCGAGGGGCAACAGGGGUAGCAAUACCUGCUGGCGACCGGCAAACGGGUGCGGAACACGUACAGAACCUUCCUUUAAGCGGGGGAUAGCCCAUAGAAAUGUGGAUUAAUACCCCAUAGUAAUAUUUGGUGGCAUCAUUAGAUAUUUAAAGAUUUAUCACUUAAAGAUGGCUGUGCGGCUGAUUAGGUAGUUGGUGCAGGUAAAGGCUCACCAAGCCAGCGAUCAGUAACUGGUGUGAGAGCACGACCAGUCACACGGGCACUGAGACACGGGCCCGACUCCUACGGGAGGCAGCAGUAAGGAAUAUUGGUCAAUGGACGCAAGUCUGAACCA